rnacentral:lncRNA from 1 species
AUGGGUUUCCACUUUGCCGUUUCUGAUCUAGAUGACAUCAUAAAGCGCCACAAGAAAGAGCAAACCAAUGCCCAAGCGGCCGGGAACAGGCGGAGGCAGCAGAUCAAGAACAGGAGUUCGGCGUACUGGUAUGGGCGGCCCCGCUUCCGCACCUGGAUGCAGAGGAAUUUGCAAGGACCUAACCGCUUUAGAAGAGGCUUUGGACAACAACAGUACAAUAGGAGGCAAUUCAGGAAUGCUGCGCCCGGUCCCAGGAGAAGAGCAGCUGCUGCAUUAAAUGGAGUGAGCCCCUUAAAUCGCCAGGCAUCUGCUCAAGAGGGUAGCAAGAGCGACGACGUUUUUGCCAAAAGCGGUAGCAGCGGGCAGCCGGAGGCGCGGAGACGGCCACCGCCGGGCCUCAAGAGAUUCAGAGCAGCAGCUGCCAACACCCACGCCGCAGUGGGAAGCAGGCCUUUCGUGCUGAACAGGGGACCAGGCUUCCAGCAGAAGCGGAUGCAGCAGCGCUACUCCAAAGCCAACUUCCAGAGAGGGCAAAUGGAUGCAGUUGGAGAAGGGAAACAACCAAGGAUGAGAAGGUGGCAAGUGAAACCCAGCCCCGGAGCAGUCCUGACGGUUUCUGUGGCUAAUCCCCAGGCGAGCCAGACCAGCGCGUAAGUAAAUGCAGUGAUGUGUUAGGAUGGGAGCCCUGCAAAAGCCAUUGCAAAUCCCUUUAGCGUUGCUGCAGCUUUGCUCCUUUUACGGCGAGAGCAGGCUCAGACCCCAAACGGUUAGCGAGCGGUGUCUCUCUGCUCUUGGCUUAUCUGAAAGGAGGCUGUAAUUACCUCGUUGUUUGUUCGUUAUCCAGACUAAUGGGGAAAUGGGGAUGCUGGCGGGCCGGGCGCGGGAGCUGGCUGCUGUGGGACCGCAGCGGCUGCUGAGCCGGUGGCAUCGUCCGGGACCAGGCGACGCCGGCUUGCAGACGAUAGCGAGCGAGCUGCCUUAGCCGCCGGAACGGAUCCGGAUGGAGGUGCCCUGUGCUUCCCGCAGGCCCGGAGGCAAGCGGCCCUUCCUGAGGAGCCCCAGGCCCCCGCCGCAGGUGGCCAAGCCCCAGCCCAAGGGAGUGCUGCUGAGGUUCAACUUCCGCGCGAUGGCGAACCAGGCCACGUAUCGCCGGCACAGAGAUCACCUGCGAGCUCGUCCUGAGAGGUUGCUCCCACGAGAUCACAGGAUCAGAGAACGGCCGAGGUUGGCAGGGACCUCUGGAGAUCAUCUAGUCCAACCGCCCUGCUCCAGCAGGGUCCACCUAGAGCACAUUGCCCAGGAUCGCGUCCAGGUGGGUUUUGAACAUCUCCAAGGAGGGAGACUCCACAGCCUCUCUGGACAACCUGGUCCAGUGCUCAGCUUUUCACAGGAAAGAAGUUUUUUCUCAGGUUCAGCUGGACCUUCCUGUGGUUCGGUUUCUGCCCGUUGCCCCUUGUCCUGUCGCUGGGCACCACGGAGAAGAGUCUGGCCCCAUCCUUCGACAACCCCCCUUCAGAUACUUGUACACGUUGAUCAGGUCACCUCUCAGUCUUCUCUUCUCCAGGCCCAACAGGCCCAGCUCCCUCAGCUUUUCUUCGGAGGAGAGAUGCUCCAGUCAAUCAUCAUCUUCGUAGCCCUCCGCUGGACUCUCUCCAGUCGUGCCAUGUCCCUCUUGUACGGGGGAGCCCAGAACUGGACACAGGGAGCUGGCG